rnacentral:rRNA from 1 species
UACGAAGGGUGCAAGCGUUACUCGGAAUUACUGGGCGUAAAGCGUGCGUAGGUGGUCUGUUAAGUCUGAUGUGAAAGCCCUGGGCUCAACCUGGGAAUUGCAUUGGAUACUGGCAGGCUAGAGUGCGGUAGAGGAUGGCGGAAUUCCCGGUGUAGCAGUGAAAUGCGUAGAGAUCGGGAGGAACAUCUGUGGCGAAGGCGGCCAUCUGGACCAGCACUGACACUAAGGCACGAAAGCGUGGGGAGCAAACAGG